AGCUCCAAUAGCGUAUAUUAAAGUUGUUGCAGUUAAAACGCUCGUAGUCGAACUUUAGACAAGGCCGAUCGGUCUGCCGUCAGGCAGGACUGAACGUGCCGCGUCUCUUUAUCGGGGAACUAGGGGUGAAAGCCUCAGGGAACCGAGGAUUACUGUGAAGAAAUUAGAGUGUUUAAAGCAGGCGUUUGCUUGAAUACGUUAGCAUGGAAUAAUAAGAUAGGACCAUGGUUCUAUUUUAUUGGUUUGAGGACCAAGGUAAUGAUUAAUAGGGACAGUUGGGGGCAUUAGUAUUCAGUAGUCAGAGGUGAAAUUCUUGGAUUUACUGAAGACUAACUAAUGCGAAAGCAUUUGCCAAGGAUGUUUUCA
rnacentral:rRNA from 1 species